GGGAAGGUGGCUCAGUGGUAGAGUACUUGCCUUGCAUGCAGGAGGCUCUGGGUCCAUUCCU
rnacentral:tRNA from 1 species